ACUUAAUCUAUAAGCGAGAUGUUGCAUGGGUUAGUAGCAUGAAUAUUCCUUGAACAUCUUAACUUCCACAGAACAGUCUAACUUUAGACAACAGUAAAUUCCAAAUCCUGAUAAUAUGGCCAAACCAAAUAAGUUUGUGCUCAACAAGCUACAUAUAAUCGAGAGACUGUAAAUCAGAAUUUAUAAAAAUGACAUUGGCCAAUUGGUUCCAUAUCAGGGGACACCAGCCAAUCUUUAACACUAAUCAUACUAGCGGCAUAAAUGAGGAAAAAAGAAAAGGUGGCAUACUUGAGAUAAGACAUUAAUUAAAAGCUCAUUUCCUUUGGAGUUGGAAGUGAGCUUGCUUUUGAAGGAUCUCAUUACCAUGCAUUUUAUCUAUCACCUCCAACAUUUCAAAUCCAAUAUUAAAACUUAAAACAUAGCUUAGAAGCUAUGCAUAGUUUCCAGGUAAACUUUGUUAAAUAUUAGCUAGAUGGUUACCAAGCAGGAAUUUCUACCCUGCCUCAAGCUUGCACACUGUUAAAUUAAAAAUUGCUGAGAUUAAAAGCAACUGCAGAGAGAUUAUCCCACACCCAGAAGUUACCAGCAAGCACAACACAAAGUCAGAAGGUCAAGAAGGCAAGGAAGGAUUAAAACAAACACAGCCACGCCGUCACGUAAAGAGGACAUUUUAUACUCCCGUGCCACCGGGACACAGCGAAGGGCAGGAUGCCGAGAGAAGGUGGAAAACAGAAGCGAAAGCAGAACCAGGGGGCUUGGAAGGAAAGGUUUGAAGACUGGGCUCUCGGGACGCGGUGGGAAAGAAGAUCUCGUGUUCGGCUCACGGAGAGCAGAAUGAAGCUGAACGAUAAGAAACACCAACACGGCAAAGAGGCUGGAUGAAGCCAGAGCUACACAACACCUUGCCCAACGCUAACUAUGAAAUACAGAGCGGAAAGUCAAGAAACUUGAGAAAGGCGGCGACAUGAAAGCAAGAGAAAAUGUUAAGUGAAAUUCAAGCAUGCUAUAGAAAAGUUAAAGCUAUACUAGGCUUAUUUGCAAGAGGAGAACAUUUAUUUCUUUAUUUAAGUGCAAAAGGAUGUUGGAAUUGUGCAUAUUUUUAUUUAGGUGCAUAAGGAUGUAAGGAUUUUAGUGUUGGGGGGAAGAAAAAAAAUCACUAAAUGCUAAUAUAGCAGAAAGAAUAGCAUCUUCCGACAUUUUAGGUCUGCAGUACAAGACUAAACUGAUGAGUCAACUUGCUUUGAAAAACAGUAGAAAUUAUAUCUUAAAAUUUCUGAAUGCUACUCAGACAUGAAAGUUACUUCAUUAAAAACACACCCAAGUAGUAAAGCAACUACUUUGAAAAAUACCAUAAAUAGCUACCUUUUAAUCAUACAGCUCAAUUUAAUGCUCAGAGAAAGAGAGCUACUUCAACUCCUUCAACUCCAGUGAAAUUCAGCCUUUCAUUUUACUUGUCUUAUCAAAGGAUCAGAGAUCCUGAAAAGAAAGAAGAAACACCAAAAGCCUUCAGGCAGAGAGUCCACUAAAACAGCAACAGAGGCUUUGAGCAAAAUAUUUUUGAGUAUCACCUGUCUAUAUUACAACAGCACCAGCUUAGGUGACCAUUGCAACUGCAGAUGAAUACUACACAUUUUUUGUGUUUAAGAAAACUAGUCUAAAACUAAACUAGUCAUGCAAAACCUCUUGUUUACUGCAGCAUGUGACUAGCUAGUGACUAGAUCAUCUCAUAUUUCUGCUUCCGGAAUAACACUAUAGAUUGAGCAUUACAAACCAGAGUGCUAUUGCCUAAGAAUCAACUGGACAGUGAAAGAGCUAAAAACACUCUUCUUACAGAAAAUUACUGUCAAACGCUGCCAGACCCAGCUUUCCCUCUUUCUGGGCCACCAGCCAGAUUCUAAUCAUUUCAGGUCUCUGCUAAUUUUUAGCUGUGCAACACUCUAACACAACAGAGGCAGCUGCGUGCAGGCGGCGUUUUAGGAUACUUUUGAGUAAUAAUAAUAAUAAAAAAAAAUUACUACUUUACUACCACCCUGAAUGUAACAUUAUGACAAGCUGAAAAGUUAAAGAACUUCCCAAGGUACCACUUGAAGGGGCACAUGCUAGUAUUUCUUUAAUAAAAGGCCGUCUUCCUACAACAGCAGAGCACAACAUUAAAACCCCUUCGUAAGCGAGGACGGCAAAGCCGAGUGAAGAUGGCUUCGACAGCAAUCUGGUGGCACUGCAAACCAGUUUGGUGAGUUUAGGAUUAACCAUUCUCACUUUGAACUUCUUUAUUGGAACAGGAAAUGUUUGUCACAGAUGCUGCUACAGAACACAGUCGCGUUGCCCAGAUUCAUGCAACAUACCUGAAAAGUGCAGACAUGAAGUAAUUGUACAAGUUUCACCUUAUCUUGAUAAGGAAAGAUUCACUUCUUAAAGUUAAGAAUAAUGUCAGGAUAAUCAAGAUGCCUUCCAGAAUUAUUUGCAAACUGAUUUUGACCUCACUUCUAUUACGUAUUGAUCACCAGCUGUAUCAGAAGGCUUAGCAGUUCCCUGAAGCGAAAACAAUGACUUUUAAUAAACAGCAAGUGCAAUAUUUCACCCAGAUUUCACAACCGUGCCAAAGAACAUAUUAGUAGGGCAAAAGGCUUCUAAAGAGAAGCUGAAAUGUUAAGGCAUGUUACAACUGGCCAAGUUUAGAAGUACAUCACGUCUGUAAAAUUCAUUCUUGCUUGGCCAGCUCUAACUGGAAGAACUAUUAACUACUGGCAAUUCUUGCAUCUGACGCAACAAGCCAAAUUGCUCAGGUUCCUACUAGCUUUAAAACAUAAAUAAAAUACAUACUGGGGGUCUAGGGUGCUGCACUCUCCUGAAGCCAACAAGCAUUGCAUGGAAAAACUGGAGGAUCACGCUCCUGUAUGUAUGCUAAUCCUCUUCUAGAGCCCAGGAAGCUGCAAGGAAUUUGCGCUUGCAACAUUAAAAUCUUGCUUAAAGGCAGAAUAUAUUAGCUAAAUCUCUGCAUCACAAUAAUACUGUCAUGCAUAUCUUUUUAUGAUUCUCAAAAACAGCAGAACCAGAACAGCCCAAGGACACUCAAACCUAUCUGCAAUUAUAGCAAAAGCACAUCCUAUUUGUGUUUUCAUGAAUUUGAAACCGUCUUGCAAUAAAGUGCAGGAAAUCUCUUUCAUUAUGAGAGCUCUUCCACAAACUAAUGCCAAUCUGCACUUUGCAUUUUGAAAGAACGCACAGGAUAUAAGCUACUGGAAAGUCCUGCUUUCAUUAUCCAUGCACUCACCUGCACUGGACAUUCUUGCUCUUACAGCAGCAAAACAACGGAUUUUAUGAUUUUAAUUUUCCCUUUCCCAGAGAGUGUUUUGAUGCAGUUAUCUCCUCUUCACACUGUUCCAGAGGGUAUUAGUUCCAGAAGGCAAAAAUGAAAACUGCAUGCAGACCACGCCUGUUUGAAUUAAAUUCAGCUAAGCAGGAGGACUGUUCCGGUAUUAACGUAUCUACGACACAAAAAUCCCGUAGCAGCAGGCUUACUAAAAAAGCUAAUUUCAACUUGUUAGGUCUACUACAGCACUUGCUUGAUGUAAGCAGUGACCCUUCACGUAAACAGGUUUACAGGUGGCUGCUAACUUUCCAGAUUCCAUGAAUUUUGGGAAGUCUGUUGCACUCGUCAUUUCAGAGGCAAUUUUAGGGCAUGUUUUGACAGAGUUGAACGUACCUUAAGCUCACAGCGGGGGACAAGAAGCGUAAGGAAGUAUUCCUAGUUGAGUUUGGCUAUACAGAUGCUUGAUGAAGCGUCUCAGCGUCAUUGCAAGCGCCUUGAUGUCGUUUUUCUCCCACCCCGAGAUCUCAGGCGGCACGCGUGCAAAGCGCCUCUGAUGCGAGGGCAGAGCAUCUGCGCCGGGGCAGGGACAGAAGGUCCCCGACACGCGAACCGCGCGCCAAGCGCGGACGUAAAGCUCGCUCCCGAGCGGUAUCUCCCAUUUUGUGCACGAGACACUGACCUCUUCUAAAAACACUUACGCUGCUCUGAGGCUCCUCCUGCACCGGCUUUAAGCUGAUGAUUCAUGUAUUAAUAUGUGGUUAUUAGACGACUCCUCUACCUCAGCUGCUGCUAUCUGUCUUUGGCAAUGGAAGAAGGAAAUGAAUUCUUAAAACCUCAGGAACAAGCGGUACACGCAUGGAGAUCAAUCCUGCCGCCGCUGACGUCAACGGAAAAAUUUCCAUCGACUUCAACAGGGGCAGAAUUAGGCCUCUCUAUCAGAUAUUCACUUGAUUUAUAACCUUGCGAAAAUCUGUAGAGCUGAAGGGGAAAAGUUGUAUCUGUUAAAAAUAACUCGUGGGAAUUAA